GACGAACGCUGGCGGCGUGCUUAACACAUGCAAGUCGAACGGAAAGGCCCUGCUUUUGUGGGGUGCUCGAGUGGCGAACGGGUGAGUAACACGUGAGUAACCUGCCCUUGACUUUGGGAUAACUUCAGGAAACUGGGGCUAAUACCGGAUAGGAGCUCCUGCUGCAUGGUGGGGGUUGGAAAGUUUCGGCGGUUGGGGAUGGAUUCGCGGCUGAUCAGCUUGUUGGUGGGGUAGUGGCUUACCAAGGCUUUGACGGGUAGCCGGCCUGAGAGGGUGACCGGCCACAUUGGGACUGAGAUACGGCCCAGACUCCUACGGGAGGCAGCAGUGGGGAAUAUUGCACAAUGGGAGGAAGCCUGAUGCAGCAACGCCGCGUGCGGGAUGACGGCCUUCGGGUUGUAAACCGCUUUCGCCUGUGACGAAGCGUGAGUGACGGUAAUGGGUAAAGAAGCACCGGCUAACUACGUG
rnacentral:rRNA from 1 species